GCCAUUUGUUGGGACAAAUGGGUUGGGGCCGGUCCUCAUCACUUCAAAACUCAACUGGACCAGUUUCAAUAAAGGGCCUGAUCCAUUCAACUCAGGUAAUACAGGUAGCUUAAGUAAUAUGCUUGUUCAGACUUGAUGAGGAGUAGGGUACGAUCGCCAGGGAUGCAUGACUGUAUUUGCUUGAAGGAGCUGCGUGAUCUCGCGGCUUAUGUUUAUAUGCUUUCUGUUAUUCUUCAUGUAUUAAAUCAUGUAAAUCUUGUACUUGUUUAAAUUCAGAGACAUUGGUUUGUAUAAGUCAUUAUGGGCAGCUUCUUGUAUAUUUGAACGAUAAUGAAAUUUUCUUUUAUGUC